UGGGGCUACUGGUGUAAACUAGGGGCCCAGACGUUUUCUGCCACAUAAGUUCUCUGGUGGGGGUCCAGGGUCGGUCGUAGGCUCCCAGAAUCCCAACCUGAACGAAAACAUCACUAAUCAACUUGAACACGGCUUGUUGUACUUCUGACUUUGCACCUGCUCAGAGUAGAAUCCGUUUGGAAGACAUUUGACGGCGUUUCUCUUCAGGAGAAAUGACGAUUAUAAUUCCAGCGAUGAAGUGAGAUCAGAAUUGACUUUAAUGAUCAGAUGAUCAGAAAUGUUUGGACGAAGAUCUUGGAGCUGACAGAAAAGCAGCAGAUGACGUCAGGAGCUGGUUGUCAUGGAGAUCCAGAUGAAGAUGAUGAUGGAAGAACAAGAACUUCUCUGCUUCCUUUGGUUUCCUCUCAAAUCUGCUGCCAGCCAAAGACAAAGGAAGAAACCGCAGAAAACUUUGGGUCCCACGCCAACCAGCCGCCCGAGUUAGCGAGCGCCGCUGCCCAGCGAGUCCCCCCCCCCGUCUUCCUCUUUAACAUCACCAUAUCACAAAGUAUUCAAUCACCUGCACUGACUCACACCUGAACUGCAGCUCUUCUGGGAAUAAUGUUGAGGAGUUUGUAGGAAUUCUGGACGUUCACCGAUGAUGGUGAGAGUCUGGCGCUCAUGGAAACCUAUCCCAUGAUGCUCUCUGUUGACUGUACUUGGGCUGAUCUGAAGGUCACAUAAAGGGCAGAGCUGCAGAAAGUCGGUGACCUCUUUGACCUUCAGCAUCCUCUGACCCCCCAUCAGUUUCCGUGGUCGUCCACUUGGUGUCUGAGUUGUUCCAAACUCUUCCACGUUGUUCUGACGGAGCUGACAGGAGACUGGAGGAUCUAGGAUACUCUCUCCUGAUUGGUUGUUCAGGUUUCCUCCUCUGACAGUUCCUCGCUGGAAUUCCCCGAGAGCGGAACGUUCUUCACUGAUGUCUCUGGGUUUAUUCACCUGUGCGCCGGCCAGGUGAUCGGGACGCCUGAUUCUGAUCUCCUGGAUGGUGAGCCGAUACUUCUGGUAAUAUAGUGCAGAUGGAGAUGUUCGAAGCCGCCAUGACCCACAGAGAAGGGCUCACCUGUGGUUCCAGUGACAUCAACUCUAUCCCCCAAAUGAUGUUAUUAUUGUUAUAUAAUCAUCACUAAACUCAGUUAAACUCUUCUAAUCAGCUUUAAAGUUCAUUUUAUGUUUGUUUGUUUUGAGCAGCACCAUUUAAUCAAAUAAUAAAUAAAUAAAAAUAUCUCAAUAGAAAUAAAAGUAAAAAGCAGCGUAAUCUGACCCGGUUGGUUCUCCAGACAUGAAACAGGAAACAGUUAGAAAAUGAAACCAUCAGAAAUAUUUCCAGAUGUUCAAAACCUGAUGGAUAAAAAAGAAUAAAUACAUUCAGACCAAACACAUCUGUUUGUUUACAGUUUAAAUAAAGUUAUCAGGAGACGGACAUGAGAACCAAACACCGUUAAAGACUCUGAUGAAAACCUUC